AACAUUCGAAUGCACAUUGCGCCGUCGGAGUGACGUCUGAUGGCACGUCUGGUUCAGGGUCGUUA
rnacentral:rRNA from 1 species